UNUUCAAGGAAUGCUGCUGCUCUAUUAACCC
rnacentral:piRNA from 1 species